AAAGAGACCUUUAGUUUGAAACCCCGAAACCAGGUGAGCUACCCCGAGACAGCCUAUUAAAAUUAGGGCUAACCCGUCUCUGUGGCAAAAGAGUGGGAAGAGCUCCGGGUAGAAGUGACAGACCUACCGAACCUGGUGAUAGCUGGUUGCCUAAGAGAUGGAUAGAAGUUCAGCCUCGUACAUCCCCAAAUCAGAAAUCUUUAAUCAAGAUAAAUAGAGAAAAGUACGAGAGUUAGUUAAAGGGGGUACAGCCCCUCUAACAAAGGAUACAACCUUCGCAGGAGGAUAAAGAUCAAAAUACAUAAAAUACUCUGUUCUAGUGGGCCUAAAGGCAGCCACCUAAAUAGAAAGCGUUAAAGCUCAGACAGAAAAAAAUUUAUUAUACUGAUAAUAAAUCUUAUUCCCCUAAUAAUAUUAGGCCACCCCAUGCCCCCAUGGAAGAAAUUAUGCUAAAAUGAGUAACAAGAAGAUUUGCUCUUCUCCGAGCACAAGUGUAAACCAGAUCGGACAAGCCACUGGAAAUUAACGAGCCCAACCAAAGAGGGUAAUGUGGACAACAGAAAAACCAAGAAAACACCACAACUUAAAUAUCGUUAGACCCACACUGGAGUGCUACAUACUAAAGGAAAGACUAAAAGAAAGGGAAGGAACUCGGCAAACACAAGCCUCGCCUGUUUACCAAAAACAUCGCCUCCUGCAAAUUAUAAGUAUAGGAGGUCCAGCCUGCCCAGUGACUACGGGUUCAACGGCCGCGGUAUUUUGACCGUGCAAAGGUAGCGCAAUCACUUGUCUUUUAAAUAGAGACCUGUAUGAAUGGCCAAACGAGGGCUUAACUGUCUCCCCCUUCAAGUCAGUGAAAUUGAUCUAUCCGUGCAGAAGCGGGUGUAAUAAUACAAGACGAGAAGACCCUUUGGAGCUUAAGGUACAAGACUCAACCACGUCAAACAACUUAAUAAAGACCAUAAACUUAGUGGGAAAUGAAGAUUUACCUUCGGUUGGGGCGACCGCGGAGGAAAAACCAGCCUCCGAGUGGAAUGGGCCAAAUCCCUAAAACCAAGAGAAACAUCUCUAAGUCACAGAAUAUCUGACCAAAAAUGAUCCGGCACACAGCCGAUCAAGCGGACCAAGUUACCCUAGGGAUAACAGCGCAAUCCUCUCCCAGAGUCCAUAUCGACGAGAGGGUUUACGACCUCGAUGUUGGAUCAGGACAUCCUAAUGGUGCAGCCGCUAUUAAGGUUCGUUUGUUCCAACGAUUAA
rnacentral:rRNA from 1 species